rfam:Triticum aestivum genome assembly, contig: Triticum_aestivum_CS42_TGACv1_scaffold_130149_2BL
UUUCUACUCCCUCCGUCCGAAAAUACUUGUCAUCAAAAUGGAUAAAAAUAGAUGUAUCUAAAACUAAAAUACGUCUAGAUACAUUUCCUUUUAUCCAUUUUGAUGACAAGUAUUUCCGGAUGGAGGGAGUAUUUG